rnacentral:lncRNA from 1 species
AUGCCACACAUUCUGCUUCCCAGACCCCUGCCUGGGAAGAGUGGGACUCCACAGGUCUGGGGGAAGCCUGGGAGUGGCACCUAUGAGCAGCUGCCUCAGAGAUUCUUAAUCAUUUUACAGAUACCUCCAGAGCACUUAACCAUGUGCUCUGCCGGUCUCUGGGGACACAGAGAUGCAUGGCUCUUGGGACAGUCGCAUUGGGAAGAUCCCGUCUGCUCAGAGCUCAGCUGCUGGCUGCUUCCUCCAUCAAACCCUCACCCAAGGCCUGUCUCAGGCAGAAGCACCUGUCACCCCAGCCUUGACACCGGGCCAAUUAUCUUAGACACCUGGAUGAGACAACAGCCUGGAUCAUCCCCCUCAGGCCACAACACCAGCACAAGGUCCAGACCACCGCCAGGCAGACCUCAGUGCCUGAGAUGCCGGGAUGGCAUCUUGCUUUGCCUAAGUGGGUUCUGACACGUCGCUGUUUCUUCUCAUUAAAAAGAAAAACAAAAACACAAAUCUAAGUAAUGUGUGCCCAGCACCCACCACAGAUGUUUGUGUCUUCAGCGUGUGCAUGUCAGGUAAACCCAUCCACGGGAGCCCAGAGUCAGCCCAUACUGAGAGGUCAAACCAGGGACAGGGUGCUCUUAGGGUCAUGGACAUAACGGACGUCAAACAGGUUUGAGACAUCGCCACAGCCUUUAUUUCUUGCUUCCGGCAAAGCGGUUUUCUGAUGAAGCAGGACAAAAGCCACUAUUCCCUGUGGCGGCCUAGGGCCCUGGAGUUGGACACAAGCAUGGCAGAUAGCUAAGCUCAAACUUAAGCUCUAUUUGCCUGCUUCCUCCCAACCCCGCCCCCUUCCCACAACCCCGCCCCCUCCAUAACCCCGCCCCUUUCCUCCAACCCUGCUCCACUCACAACAGCCAGAGCGAGCAUUAAUCAAGGCCAUAACCCCAGUGCUCGCUUAGGCAGCACAUAUGCUAAAUACAGAGAAAAUUAACGUUGCCCCCGUGCAAGGAUGACACACAAGUUUGUGAAGGGGUCCGUGUUUUUACUUAUAUGUGAAAUCUAAAAUACAGCACAGAACCAUGAGGUUGCGGGUUGGAUCCCUGGCCUCGUUCCGGCGUUGCGGUGAGCUAUGGGGUAGGUCACAGAUGUGGCUCAGAUCCGGCACUGAUGUGGCUGUGGCGUAGGCUGGCAGCUGUAGCUCCCGUUGGACCCCUAUCCUGGAACGUCCAUAUGCUGUGGGUGAGGCCCUAAAAAGCAAAAAAUAAAUAAAAAUAAAAUAAAAUAUGGCA